rnacentral:rRNA from 1 species
CCCUUAGAUGUUCUGGGCCGCACGCGUGCUACACUGAGUGGAUCAGCGGGUCAGGUUGCGCGAAAGCGUUUCCUAAUCUUUAAAUCCGCUCGUGAUGGGGAUUGACGGUUGCAAUUUUCUGUCAUGAACGAGGAAUACCUUGUAAGCGCGGGUCAUCAUCCCGCGCUGAAUACGUCCCUGCCCUUUGUACACACCGCCCGUCGCUCCUACCGAUUGAGUGGCCCGGUGAGGCUUUGGGAUCUGAGCGGAAAGAGCGUUUCGCUGUUUCUGCUCGGAAAACUCAGUCGAACCUUAUCAUUUAGAGGAAGGAGAAGUCGUAACA